rnacentral:lncRNA from 1 species
AGUCCGGUUAAUUCCCUCAAACUCGAUUUAAGAAUGGAGAAAUUGAGACAAAUUGCUAUUGGGACAUGUAUUGCUGGCUUUCUGAUGGUCUUAAGUGGGAUUGUAACACCAGGAUGGCUGAUUUAUGACUACAGUGAGGAACAAUUAGAGACGCAAUGGGAGACAGAGGUUGGCCAAUUUUUUUUCAUGGCAAUAAGAACACGAAUUGGAUUCAGUAAAUAACUAUCAACAAAUUUUUAAAUUUGAAAUACUAAAAACCGUUGGAAUUCAAUUAAAAGAACAAAUGUUGUUAAUAUUUUUUUAGAUAAAGACAACAGUAGUAUACCGCUGUUCGAAAUUAAUAAAUCGAUUGAAAAAAAACCAAAUCCGGGUUACAAACUGAAACUGUGGGAAAUGCAUCAAAUAUAAAUGGAGACAUACGACACAACAGAAACACAACAACAAAAUGUAACACACAAAGAAACGAACAUUUCUAGCAAAAAUACAAAAAAUAUAAAUCAAUAAUAAGACAUUGAACAUAGAAAAGACGAUGAUUUAAUAAAGAUGUGAGGGUACUCAUAUAUGAAAACAAUUUAACGACAAAAAUGAAGUUUGUUCUGAUUAAUAGAUGUUUUAACUCCAUCAUGGUAAAAUUACUCCGUGUACAUGUAAUGCAGACCUAUCUGGGUUGUGGAGAUGGUCAAUUUCAUAUGCUAAAUUUUUGCAUUAUAUAAAUUUUAUAAUGUUUGACAACUUUUAUUUAUAACAUGGUAUUGAAAGUUUAUUAAUCGUAUUCAAUAUUGUAUUAUGCAGCUAAACAUAUCUCUACCAAGCAAAAAAUUCAAGCAGCAUUUCGAAAAACAUCAGGUAUGUAUUCUUUAACAAUUGGAAGACGUAUCUGAUUGAAAUGAUGAAAAUCAAUAUCAUUUUUGAAGUAAAAAAAAACAAAACAGUAAGCAUAACUCAGAAAAUUUGCUGAAAUCAGAAAAGAAGAUUCUAGACAAAAAUACUUUACGUAAGAUAAAUAGAAAAUAAAUAGACAGCAAUACUCAAGUGAAAUUGUGGGUAUACGCCAAACGGACAAAAAUAUAAGUUACGACAAACCUUAUUUUUUUUCUUAUCUAAUCAUUUUGGCCAAAAUUCAACAUUAUGGUGAUUGUCCAGAUACAUAUAUGUUCACAACCAAUUAUGAUAAGCAAUAAAACAGUGUAAAUCCAUGUAGAAUUAUGUAGAUUGUUUUGAUAUUUAUUUUGUAUAUUCUAAAUCUUUUAACCCCACAAAAAGUUUUAUGAUCUUUGACAAAUGGUUCGAAAUUAAUUAAUCAUAUACAAUAUUUUAUUAUUCAGCCAAUUUCUGUAACGGUUGCC